UACGUAGGGGGCAAGCGUUGUCCGGAAUCAUUGGGCGUAAAGCGCGUGUAGGCGGCCAGAAAAGUCCGCUGUGAAAACUCGAGGCUCAACUUCGAGCUGUCGGUGGAAACUUUCUGGCUAGAGUCCGGAAGAGGAGAGUGGAAUUCCUGGUGUAGCGGUGAAAUGCGCAGAUAUCAGGAGGAACACCCGUGGCGAAAGCGGCUCUCUGGGACGGUACUGACGCUGAGACGCGAAAGCGUGGGGAGCGAACAGG
rnacentral:rRNA from 1 species